UGGAGUUCACUGAACCAGUGUCAGUGGCUGCAGGUCGGUUGGAGUUCACUGAAUCAGUGUCAGUGGCUGCAGGUUGGGUGGAGUUCCCUGAAUUAGUGUCAGUGGCUGCAGGUCGGUUGGAGUUCACUGAAUCAGU